GGGGAUGUGGCUCAGUGGUAGAGCACUUGCCUUGCAUGCACAAGACCCUGGGUUCCAUUCUCAGUAUACACA
rnacentral:tRNA from 1 species